rnacentral:lncRNA from 1 species
UCAGUACAGUGGUGGCAGCUGGACUGGCCAUUUCUGCUGCAGGUUUUGCAAGUCAGGAAGCACAUAUAGCCUGAAGUAAAACAGGAUUUUCAAAGUCUACCAAAAUCUGCCUUCAGCGGUGGCUAUUAGAGAGGUGGGCUUGAACUAAAAAGGACAAAAUGGGAAGCAGCAAUACUACCUCUAAGCCUUACUGCCAUUAAAGGAAAAAUAAGAGAUGCUCAGUAACAAAUAUGAUCUUAAAUCGCCCAAAGAAGGAUCUCCUUAUAUAGCAACCCAAAUCAAUGAAGCUAAGGAUUUACUACGUCAAGCUCAAAAA